UACGUAGGUGGCAAGCGUUGUCCGGAAUUAUUGGGCGUAAAGCGCGCGCAGGUGGUUUCUUAAGUCUGAUGUGAAAGCCCACGGCUCAACCGUGGAGGGUCAUUGGAAACUGGGGAACUUGAGUGCAGGAGAGAAGAGUGGAAUUCCACGUGUAGCGGUGAAAUGCGCAGAUAUCAGGAGGAACACCGGUGGCGAAGGCGGUUCUCUGGGCCUGACCUGACGCUGAGGAGCGAAAGCGUGGGGAGCAAACAGG
rnacentral:rRNA from 1 species